CAAAUUACUGUGGCUAUAUUUCUUUCCAAAAGCAUUGGCCAUGGACAUGGAAUAAUAGUACAGGCCUUAUAACUGUGAUGUCCGUCCCUGUGCCUGGAGCUUUGUGCAUAUUUGGAACAGACAAGCCAGAAAAUCAGCAUGAAUCAGAGACAUGAACUACUCUAUGGAGGGUUCAGUGGGUUAAAACUGACACUGCCACCCUUCCUGGGUUUAAACCAUGGCAACUUUUCAGCAUGUUUGCUUUCUGGCUGGGUGCACUGAAAAUCAAUUCCACCGGAAAAGGCCAGCCGCACAAUCUGAAGUGACUUCUUCCACACCAGGGGCUCCUGAAAUGAAGAGUGUGCUGUGACUGUGUGGAUGAGAAAGGUCCUUCUAAACACAUGGGGCAGAAUGAAAGAAAACAUGGCCUGUGCCACUGAGCACAAACAUGCUUGACUUUCUCCUGGGCAGGAAAGCAGAGAGAAAAGAACGCUUUACCAUGUCUUGGCUGGCCACAUUUUCUUUGCUCAGUUAACUGGUCAACACUGGCCUGGGGAAUGAGUUGAAUGCCACAUUUCUCAUUUUACCCUGUUUGCUUGCAGGUAGAAGUGUGUGUCUCCGGCGUCUUUGCCUAUCCUCUUAGUUUAUCUUCACCCUAUCUUUCCUCCCAACUGUGCCUCUGAAUAUUAGGUAAAUGCCUCCUGGUUUUUCUAAUCCCUUUGCUGGCAAGCUUCUGGCCAUCCAUUAUAGCUGCCUGGAUUGCUUUAAUCAAAGCAGCACAUUCUUGUUUGGCUCCAUUUCCAGGAUUUCUGUCUUGUUGCUUUUUUUUUUUCCAUCUUCUUCAUUCCCUUUACCCAUAAACUUUUAUUAGACCUUUGUGAAGCCAACUGAGAUAGCAGGGAGUAUACAUUAUAAUUCAUUUGAAAAAGAAUCAGCUGCAUUUUGAUGAGAGGGAUCAUUUUGCAAGGCGAUUGGGAAGCGCAGCUAUUGUGCCCCUUCUCUGUGUGCAGGGUUGGAAAGCACAGGCUAGCACUUGUCUGUUCUCACCUCAGGUUAGCAGUCUGGUCACAUAGGCAGCCUGGCACCAAUUGCUAGCCAUAUCUCACCCUUGCUAUGGCAGGAGGUGAUCAAUAGAUGGAUUAAUCACACUUUGGGGAGCUCACACCCUGGGAAGGAGAGAAAAUGAGGUUUGGAAGAGAAGGCUGCUGCCAACAUGUUCUGCCUGGAGUUUGCAGACUGGUACACAAAAUGCAAGUCUGCAAAGAAAUCCCCUCUGCCCAGAAGGAUGACCAAGACCAGCUGCAUAAUGAAAGCUUCUAGAAAUUUGCCAUCCACUUGAUUUCAGCUGAUCAGCACAGCUUUAAAAAAAAUUAGAGACACUAAAGAUGGUCCAAAGCCAUUUAAAAAGUGUAAUGGGACUUAAGUGAUAUAGUGAAUAAGAUUAUGCUUAUUUAUAGGGACCAGUCUUCAUCUAUGCAUAGUUUUCAGCACGAAAGGAACCAUGAUGGGGUUUCUUAAAUGUAUCUCUAAAGUCACUGAAAUUUGAUAGGGCACUGUGUCUUAUGUUUGUUUCAUUUAUUUAUUUGUAACAGGAAGGUUUACAAUGAGGAAGAAUAGAUUAGAAAUUAGGGAUGGGUUAGGAGAAGCAGAAGAGAAAUACCCGAUUACUGACAAAUAGGUCUAGGUGACUCAGAAGCCCACACCUACUGUAAUAAGAGCUGUUGCAUGUGCAAAGAACACCACAUUUUGGACCAAUGGACUUCAGUUUGAGUCCUUCCUCUGCUAUGGACCAGACAAAGGAAAGUAACUGAAUCUGUAGUCUCAAAACCACCUUCACAAAACAUGUUUUGUGAAGUUGAGGCAUGGAGUACACAAACACUGCUUCAUCAACUGAAGAAGGAUCUCUAAAUUUAAGUAUCGUUACAAAGGACAAGUGACUGCUCAGCCUUAAGCAGCAACUGACUUAGAUCCAAGCAUUAUCAGGGGCUGGAGCGAAGAGCCACGGAGGAGCAAGAUGCUGAGGCCCGGGGUCAGUGAAACGGAAGACGGGGGACAAAAUGUGCCCUGUAUGUCCUCUCUAAGCAGAUUUCUUACCCAUAUACAAUAAUUCCUGUAUGGCCUUGUGCCCCAAAACCUCUGGGAACAAAGGGCAAAAAAAAGCAGAGCAGGUUGCCCACAUUGUCCUUCUAUCUAGAAUGUUCUCCUUUUCCUCUUCAAAUAUCUAAACCACCGUGUAGUUAAACUUCUACAUGUUUACCCCUACCCUGUAAGGUGUUCACACAAAAACCUGUAUAAGAAUGGUUACUAAUAAUUGCCCAAUGCUGGAAAGAACCAGUUCUUCACUUGUGAAUGGAUAGAGGAAUUGUAUAUGUCUGUACAAUGAAAAUGACUCAAUAAUAAAGAGGAAAGCCCAUGA